rnacentral:misc_RNA from 1 species
AGCAGCCGCGGUAAUUCCAGCUCCAAUAGCGUAUAUUAAAGUUGUUGCAGUUAAAAAGCUCGUAGUUGAAUUUCGGGAUUGACACAUCGGUCGUGCCUUAAGGGGUAUGAACUGGUGUAGUCAAUUUCUCACCUUCUGGAGAACCGCGAUGCCCUUAAUUGGGUGUCGCGGGGAACCAGGACCUUUACUUUGAAAAAUUAGAGUGUUUAAAGCAGGCAUUUUGCUUGAAUACAUUAGCAUGGAAUAAUAAAAUAGGACGGCAUGAUUCUAUUUUGUUGGUUUCUAGGAUCACCGUAAUGAUUAAUAGGGAUAGUUGGGGGCAUUAGUAUUCAAUUGUCAGAGGUGAAAUUCUUGGAUUUAUUGAAGACUAACUACUGCGAAAGCAUUUGCCAAGGAUGUUUUCAUUAAUCAAGAACGAAAGUUAGGGGAUCGAAGACGAUCAGAUACCGUCGUAGUCUUAACCAUAAACUAUGCCGACUAGGAAUCAGACGAUGUUAAUUUUUAAUGUACUCGUUUUGGC